GAUGAAGAACGUAGCGAAAUGCGAUAAGUAAUGUGAAUUGCAGAAUUCAGUGAAUCAUCGAAUCUUUGAACGCACCUUGCGCUCCUUGGUAUUCCGAGGAGCAUGCCUGUUUGAGUGUCAUUAAUAUAUCAACCUCUUCAGCUUAUGCUUGUUGAGUGUUGGAUGGUGGGGGUUUGCUAGUGUCUUAUGAAGUCAGCUCCUCUGAAAUGCAUUAGCGGAACAAUUUGUUGACCGUUCAUUGGUGUGAUAAAAAUAUCUACGCUAUUGACGUCAGUCAGUUCAGCUUCUAACAGUCCAUUGACUUGGACAAAUUUUUCAUUAAUGUGACCUCAAAUCAGGUAGGACUACCCGCUGAACUUAAGCAUAUCAAUAAGCGGAGGA
rnacentral:misc_RNA from 1 species